CCCUUAGAUGUUCUGGGCCGCACGCGUGCUACACUGAGUGGAUCAGCGGGUCAGGUUGCGCGAAAGUGUUUCCUAAUCUUGAAAUCCGCUCGUGAUGGGGAUUGACGGUUGCAAUUUUCCGUCAUGAACGAGGAAUACCUUGUAAGCGCGGGUCAUCAUCCCGCGCUGAAUACGUCCCUGCCCUUUGUACACACCGCCCGUCGCUCCUACCGAUUGAGCGGUCCGGUGAGGCUUUGGGAUCUGAGCAAAGAGAGCGUUUCGCUCGUUUUGCCCGGAAAACUCAGUCGAACCUUAUCAUUUAGAGGAAGGAGAAGUCGUAACA
rnacentral:rRNA from 1 species